rnacentral:lncRNA from 1 species
AAAAUUAUUUUUUAAACUAUCAUAUUGGGUGAGGUAUCAAACCAAAGCCAUAGAACACUACAGUCAAAUAUGACCUCAAAUUGAAUUUGCGGAUACUUCAGGUUUUUUAUAGACUACUCGUUGCUUUUUGUUUUUUUUCACAAUUAUUACUGCUACCAUAGUAUUAUCUUUUGUUGUGUAUUUAACUCUGGUUAAUAUCUAUUACAUUAUAGGUUUUGUAACUAUAUCCCCCCUUUUUUCCCUUGCAACGUACCACAGACUUCAAAAGUAUUCCAUAUAAAAAAAGAAGAUGUGAUAUGAUUGCAAAUGAGACAACUCUCCAAAUGAGACCAAAUGAGACAUAAAACAAUUAUAGGUCCCGUACGGGUUUCAACAAUGAGUAAAAUUCAUACUGCAAAGUCUUCAAUUCCCGAAACGAAUAAUGUAAAACAAACAAAAAAUCUAACGGCCUGAUUAAUGUACAAAAUAAAUAAUAAAGAAACCAAUAUAGUAUAUAGAAACAAACGACAAACACUGCAUUACCGUCUCGUAACUUAAAACUGACACAUACAGAUAGUGGCGGGGUUUAACUUUUUUAAGGGCACGCCAACAAUCCCCUAACCUCGGGACUGGAUUCGUGUGUACCAGUGCAACAAGCUUUAUACCAAAUCAACCCUUAUCUCCAUCAUGUUCAUUUUCAUCAACUGUCACAAUAACAAUAACGGUACCAUUUUUUCUGCACCAGAUGCGCAUUUCGACAAUACAUGUCUCUUCAGUGAUGCUCGUGGCCAAAAUAUGUGAAAUCCAAAGCUUAUAUUAAAGAUGAAGAGCUAUAAUCCAAAAGUUCCAAAAAGUAUAGCCAAAUCCGUGAAAUGAAUCAGAGCUUUGCAUGAGGGAGAUACAUUCCUUAAUUUAUAAUAAUUUCUAACAUUUUGACAUGUUUUAAUAUUUCUACACAUUUCACUCAUGGCCACAGGUCUGCACAUGAAAGGUUCUGCUCAAAGCAAACACGUUAUUUUGAGUUUUUCUUUACAAGUACAGACAAGGUAUUGUAGGAAGUCCGAAGACAUUUGUUCCUAAAAAAUACCAGCUUCAAACCAUCCCUAUCAAUUCAUCCAAGAUUUAACAGAGAUCUAUAAGGGGGUUUAGGAAGGUGUGAUGACAUCCAUAUGCUUGUCUGCAAAGAUGCUGGGGAAACAUCAUACGAGAAGUACACACUAUCUUGAAUUCGCUCAAUUUCAUGGUUGGCAACACAUUAGAUAGCGUCGCACUUUAUUUUAAGAAGCAUAAAAUCCAUUGGCAUUCAAUGUUUCAACAAGGUGUUUUGAACCAAACUCACGGUACAUUUGUAAAAGCCAAUCCUAAAUGAAAAGGAGUAAAAUAAAAAAGAUUGCCUCAACAAUUGCUUAGCAUUUCCACAAUUUCUCUGGUGCCAUUUCCUGAGAAUAGUCUUGGCUGUAUGCAGUUUCAUUGAGUAACCAUAGAAUGAAUUGCAAUAAAUACGAAGGCAUUGACUGAAUUAAGAAGGAAGAAACAAUUCAUCCAAAGUUGGGUAGUCUUCUUUAGAGUUUCGAUGUCUUUUCUAAGUAAACUUGCAGCGGAAUUAAAUAUCUGUCCGUUAUUUGUGUCUAUUACAGUUGACAUUGAGAUUUUGAGGUCAGUUUUCAAUUGACUAGAAGCUUAUAUGGCAUCUAAAAUAGUUAAUUUGCUACUAAAUAAUAUGUUAUAUUUGCCUUGAACUUGUUGAAGUUGUUUGACAACUGAAUUUCUAUAGAAAUAAAUGAGUUUAGACUGCAUUUUACAUGUAGAAUAUUUUAAAUUAGAAUCAGCCUGAAGAAAUGAUCUAUAUUUAUCAAGUAACGGUGCCAUGAGGAAUGACCAUUAAAUCGUUGUCAAUAGCCAAAAUAGAAUUAGUAAAAGCAGUAUCGUGUUCUGAAAUAUCUGCUUCCACGGGUUUGGAUUUAUUUAUUUUUUUCGUUUUUAGCAAAUAUUUUGUAAUGCAACCAAAAUGACAGAGUGCUUGAAGUUUAAAAGAUGGACGGGAAACUAUUUCAACUUUAACUUUAUCUGACACGGAUAAAACAUUUUUAAUGCGCUCAUCUGAUUCAAACUUGAGUAAUUUUUUUAUCUUUCUAAAAUGUUUUGUUGCAACAAAAUAUACAAGCGCUCCAGAUGAACGACUGCAUUCUAGAACGUGUACACUGAAUACCCGAAACUGAGGGACAACAGUCAGAUAAUUGUAUGUCGUCAAACUUCCUGCACGGAGUUCUUCAAAUUAACAGCUAUCGCAUGAAACAUCUUGAUGUUCCCCUCAUCCAAUCUUUUAUGCAAUGCAGAUACAAAAGUCGACUUCCCUAAACUGGUAAAUUGACUUAAAAUUUCAAUCGAGGUUUUUUUAGCAUAUUUUUUAUUCACUGCAUAAAAUUUAACGACUUUUGUCUGUUCUUUGGACUUAAUCGAGCAAGUUGCAAAGGACUUGACAUAUCACGGAAUAUUUACUGAAACUAUCCGUCAAUUAUUUUGAUUUUACAAUAAGACUUUUCUGACAAAGUAUAUUUAAUGUUUUAUAACGAAAAAACAUAGAAUAUAAACAUAUACAAACAAAGUAUGUGGCAUAUAUCAGUGCACUUUAAUUGAAA